GCGAUUAUAGCUCAGUGGUAGAGCAUUCGACUGCAGAUCGAGAGGUUCCCGGUUCAAACCCGGGUGCUCCCA
rnacentral:tRNA from 1 species